GAUGAACGCUGGCGGCGUGCCCAAUACAUGCAAGUCGAGCGAACGGACGAGAAGCUUGCUUUUCUGAUGUUAGCGGCGGACGGGUGAGUAACACGUGGGUAACCUACCUAUAAGACUGGGAUAACUUCGGGAAACCGGAGCUAAUACCGGAUAAUAUUUUGAACCGCAUGGUUCAAAAGUGAAAGACGGUCUUGCUGUCACUUAUAGAUGGAUCCGCGCUGCAUUAGCUAGUUGGUAAGGUAACGGCUUACCAAGGCAACGAUGCAUAGCCGACCUGAGAGGGUGAUCGGCCACACUGGAACUGAGACACGGUCCAGACUCCUACGGGAGGCAGCAGUAGGGAAUCUUCCGCAAUGGGCGAAAGCCUGACGGAGCAACGCCGCGUGAGUGAUGAAGGUCUUCGGAUCGUAAAACUCUGUUAUUAGGGAAGAACAUAUGUGUAAGUAACUGUGCACAUCUUGACGGUACCUAAUCAGAAAGCCACGGCUAACUACGUG
rnacentral:rRNA from 1 species